CGCCUGUUUAUCAAAAACAUCUCUUCUCGUUAGUUUUUGAAGUAUGGCCUGCCCACUGACCUUGAAUGUUGAAGGGCCGCGGUAUUUUGACCGUGCAAAGGUAGCAUAGUCAUUAGUUCUUUAAUUGUGAUCUGGUAUGAAUGGCUUGACGAGGCAUAGGCUGUCUUAAUUUUGAAUUGUUUAUUGAAUUUGGUCUUUGAGUUAAAAUUCUUAGAUGUUUUUAUGGGACGAGAAGACCCUAUAGAGUUUGACAUUUAUUCACGGUCUCUUUCUGUUUGUGAGGGUUCACUAGGGCUGUUUAAUAUGUUUUGUUGGGGUGAUGGGAGGGAUAUUAUUUAACCCCUCCUUUGUGUUGUUAUAUUUAUUUAUAUUUGCUUGAUCCAUUUAUUUUGAUUGUAAGAUUAAAUUACCUUAGGGAUAACAGCGUAAA
rnacentral:rRNA from 1 species